UACGUAGGGUGCGAGCGUUGUCCGGAUUUAUUGGGCGUAAAGAGCUCGUAGGCGGCUUGUCGCGUCGGAUGUGAAAGCCCGGGGCUUAACUCCGGGUCUGCAUUCGAUACGGGCAGGCUAGAGUGUGGUAGGGGAGAUCGGAAUUCCUGGUGUAGCGGUGAAAUGCGUAGAGAUGUGGAGGAACACCUGUGGCGAAGGCGCCUUGCUGGCCGAUUUCUGACGCUGAGGCGCGAAAGCGUGGGGAGCGAACAGG
rnacentral:rRNA from 1 species